rnacentral:tRNA from 1 species
GCUCGGAUGGUGGAAUCGGUAGACACGCAAGACUUAAAAUCUUGUGACCAUUGCGGUUGUGCGGGUUCAAGUCCCGCUCCGAGUA